UAGCUCAGUGAUAGAGCGCAUGCUUAGCAUGCACGAGGUCCUGGGUUCAAUCCCCAG
rnacentral:tRNA from 1 species